GCCCACUACAGAACUUCAUACGCUAUACUCACCACCGUCGCAGAACCGGAAGCUACCGGAGUAUAGAACUCGCCACCGUCGCAGAAGCGGAAGCUAGCGGAGUAUAGAACUCACCACCGUCGCAGGACCGGAACUUCAUACGCAACCGGAUGAAACCCCUAAAACCGAAUCAAUUUUCCCGCCGUCAGCUUCCCAUCAUGUUCGAAUUCUUGAAAAAUCUGGUAACUCGAUGGUACUGUAAGAUUUUCUUAUCCAUGUUUAAAAUAAUCAAAGAAAUCAUUCUUUAUUUUAAGAAAUUCAAUAAAUCUUUUCUUUCUUAAAAAAUCAAGAAUUUGUUUUCACUUCUUUAAGGAGAGAGGGGAUGAAUGCCCGAGACUAUUUCUGUCAAUGGGGUUUUCUUGGAUUAUUGCACAAGUGUUGUUGACUAGUUCUUAUAAAACAGACUUGAAUUUCUGUCAGGGGUUCCUGAAUAAUUUAACCUGGGUUAUUGAUGAGUUGCUUUAAAACAGACUCAAAUUUCUGUAUGGGUUUUCUUGAAUGAUUUUAAAAAAGAUGUACUAAUUUACCCCUUCAAAGGUAUUGAAUGGAAAGUUGUGGAGUUGUUCUUGAAGCCCCAUUCGCACAAUUCUAGUUUAAUUAUAAGAAGUUAAGUAUUUUUGAAUGAAGACACUCAAUUAGGCAAACUUCCGUAAAUGUCCUCAGUGACCAAUUUCCUUUACAUGGUCUAUAGUAUAGACCUUUUGACUUCGAUUGUUUCUUCAAAAUGGAAAAUUGUGCCAGGUAAGAGAAUGGUGAAUUAUAUGGUUCGUGUUUUCUGAUUUUGUUAAUGUUUUGAGGAUCUGUAGAGGUGGGCUGCUGCUAAGAACAUCAUAGUUAUGUGAGUAACGAUGAAAGUUGUGCUUUCAUGCAGUUUUAAUCUUUUACACUAUAGUUGCACCUGCAAAUUUGUGUGUUGCUUGCAAAAUAGGCAGUGACCAGAGAGGAGGCUCUUCAUUGAAUUCUUAUGUUACUUCCUUUGCUACUUUGCACGAUGAGAGCAUAUGUUUUAUAUGAAAAUUGAUAUUCUCAGAUGCUCCUUUUCGGUGUAUCAUAAUUUUCUUUAUACACAACCCUUAGUUCUUUUUUCAAUGAGAUUUACUUCCUUAGAGGACUGUCCUUUCUAUUUUCUUAUGCUUAUAACUUGUGUACUCUUAGUUUGAACUUUAACCCAGUGUCAACUUUCCACCCGGUGUACCUGCUAUAUAUAGAUGGAUGACAAUGGUAAGUUUAGUUUCUUUGACAUCGAUUUAAUGCAUUUUGAUGUGCAGAAAGUUCUACUCAAUUUGUAUUUUACUUUAUCACUUCUUUUGAACGAUCUGGUGUCUCAUGCUGAUGGGAGAAAGAUAUGGUAACAUUUUUGGAAAAUGUUAGACUCACAUCAUCUCUUUUUUUUAAUGAUGCUGCUGUACAUAAUUUAUUUUGCGUGACAACUAUGAUGUUCAUAACUUGGAAUGGUUGUUUAGUCUAUAGGAUUACAUGCAUUACCAACUGAUAGGCCGGUUGAUGGUUUGUGUACAUUAAUAUCUUUUUACAGAUGUUCUUUAUUUAUUGUUUUGUGGUUUUACUUGUAAUUGGGAGAACUGGAAUGGCUGUACACAACACAAAAUAUUGAUGCUUACAUUUUGUUUCUGCUUUUAUUUUAAGAUCUUCAUGUCCAUCACUUUCCUGGUGCUCAAUUUGACCUAUUAAAUAUGCUAAAACUGUUGAUGUUUGGUAGUAUUGUAGGGACUCAAGAAAUUUCGAGGAUACUAUUUUAUGCAUCCUUCGUUUCAAAAGUAUCAACUUACCUCCUUCAGUUAAGAGUUACUGAGUUGAUAUCUUUUCUCUUCUUUGAAGUAAUAAAAGAGAGAGAUAUAUUAAUGACAUGGAUCCUAGAGGAACUUGCUUCAUUUGAACACUUCUUUUUGAGAAUUAAAAAUACUGCUUCAUUUGAAUACUUUAAAGCUUCUUUAACGUUAUAACAGACAACAGUUCUAAUAAAUACAAGAAAUUAUUAAUUAGAAUGGGACGAUUAAGGAAAAGCGAGAAUAGGCUUUGACGAAGUGACAAAAUUUUCAUAUUUUUCUUUAAUGAGUUGAGGAAGUGGGAGCACAUGUAAACAUAAGAUGACGUUUAGUUCUUCUUAGUUUUCGACUGCAGACCAUGACUAGAUCAAACUUUAGAGCUGUUGCACUUUUUAGGAUUACUGGAUUUUGUUUCACUGAUUACUUUGUCUGAUAAUGUAGACUCUUUGCUAUGAACUGGAUUAGGAUGAUAAUGACUUCAAUGCCAUGUUAUUUAAUUGUUAGAAGUGCUGGUCAUCACCAGCUCAUAAUUUCUACUUUGUGUACCAUAUGUAGGUUAAGAGAGGAGUGAUUUGAGUUAUUAUCUGAAAGAAGCAAAAUAAAAAGAGGUGUGUGUGUGUGUGUGGGGGGGGGGGGGUUCUUGUUUGUCUAUUAGAACAUGUCACUUGUUCAUUUUUGUUCCAUGUUAGAUGUGCAAUCCAAUUGCCAGAAUAUGUGCAACAUUUAUAUCCCUAGUUGGCACCAUUGAUACUGCUUCUGUUAAUCUGAUAAAGCUAUUUUGAUGUGCUUUAUCGGUGAGAGCAAUUCACUCGACAUUUUUAUUCAACUCUUAGGAUUCAUUGUAUAUGACGUUAUUUGUACAUGUGGCUUUGUUGAAGUAUCCUUCUCAUCUAUUGCUAUCCCAUUCCCUGCACCAUUUUUCAGAUAUAUUAUACCUGUGAAUUAUGAUAUCAGGAAAAAGAGGUGCAGGAUCCAGAGUUACAAAGCGACACUUGAACUUCUUUCCUGCAGCCAAGAAAUUGAUUGGAGAAUGCACUGUCAGGAGUGCAAUUCGAUCUUCACAGAUUAUUCUGUGGGGAAGUGCUUCUGCAAAGCAUGAUCCUGAGUCCAGAUUCCUCUGUCAGAUCAAAAAUUCAAGUCAGUCAAUACUCAAAUGAUUGCUCUCUUGCUCCAUUGCACAAUCGGUGUGAAUUGGAAAUCCAGAAACUCUGCACACCCCUUUCAUCUAAUGUUUUACCUACGGAGGAUGGUUUCCUGGAUAACGAAUUCAGUGUUUCAGCUAGCUCCAGUUACAAAUCAGACUGCCUAUUAGUUCUAUGACUUCCUUUUCUCUUGAGCUACUUUUGGAAAGCCUAGAUAAGAAUAUAGUUGUUGAAGUAUCCUCCUCAUCUGUUGCUAUCCCAUUCCCUGCUCCACUUUUCAGAUAUACCUGUGAAUUAUGAGAUCAGGAAAAAGAGGUGCAGGACCCAGAGUUGCAAAGUGACACUUGAACUUCGUUCCUGCAGCCAAAGAAAUUGACCGGAGAGUGCACUGUCAGGAGUUAGAUUCGAUCUUCACGGAUUAUUCUGUGGGGAAGUACUUCUGAAAAGCAAGAUCCUGAGUCCAGAUUCCUCUGUCAGAUCAAAAGUACUUCACGGAUUGUUUCCACAUGCUGCAAAAAGAGAUCUCGAUUUUAUGCUUGUUCUAAAGAGGAUAUGAGUAUUAUAGGGGAAGUUGAUGCUUGGGAUGUUUAUAGUUCAGGUCCUUCUGCAUUCUAUUAUGAUGGAGAUGAUUUGUCACAUAUACAUUCUCAUGGUGAAGAAAACCUUAAAAAUUAUUUGACACUCGAGCUAUGCUCUUCUCUAGGGUGGAUGGGAACUCGGGUAAAUGGAUUGAUGCUGGAAAUCGAGGUAAAACAGAUGAGCUUAUAAGGAAGAAGAUCGGAAUAAGUCAUUCAGGUCAUUCAUUUUACAAAAGCAUGAAGUUCUUUGCCACAAAUGAGUCUUCAAGAAUGGCAGCAGUAAAUAACAAAUAUUAUGACUGUUCAUGAUGCGCCGCUCACGCCAGGUAAGGAGACUGCAGCAGUCUGCAGAGGCUAUCUGCUCGGAGCUUCCACAUCAAUAUAAUCAAUCUUCCACCCCAAGUCGUGGUGAUGGUGUAUUCUAUGAUGAAAGUUAGGCCAAGUGUGAAAAUGAAACUAGUUAACAUCUGGAACAACAAAUUACAAUCUCAAGGAGAGUGUACAAGUACACACGAUGAGGAGUCAAUAGAAGGUGCAAUUAUGCUUGGAGAUGCGUUGUUACCUUCAACAUGUUCUUUCAUUGUUGAGGAGUUAAGGCAGACUUCAUGUUUUAAGUUAGUGGAAAAUUGCAUUUCAGGAAAUAUCUGGUUUGGAACUUCAUUUGAUGAUUGCUAAGUUAGGUUCAUUGAGUAGGGGUUCCUCCAAGGCAUGGCAUGAAUAGCAUCGUCAUGAAAUCAACCUAGAGCGUUUUGCAGAACAACUAAGAUCAUCCGUAUCCUAAUGUCUAAAAGCUCUUGUGUGAGUAUACAUAAAUUUGUUUCUUCUUUCUGCCUACCAAACAAUAAUUUUGCACUGCAGAUAUCUAUUUUGCGAUCAUCAUAUUGAAGGAGAAUCUGAUCUGGAGCACAAUGCAUCUAAACAGAUUCAACAAAUAAAUGCAUGCAUUAAUUCAAUUGAUGUGGACCUGUAAGAAUUUCUUCAACAGGUUAGUCCAUUGACACUCACAAGCUCUCAUAUUUCACUCCUUUAUUUAAUUAGUCUUUCUUGCUUAAACGUUGUGUCAUGUUCUUUGAAUUAACUCCAACAUUACCUCCUUCCCCAAUUAAUGCCUUCCUUUAGUUUAUUCUACACCUCUUUUUUUUUUUUGAUGAUCAUACAUCAACAAGAACCGAAGAAGCCGAAGGCUCCCAAUGAGAUUCGGUAAGAUGCUGCUUUUAUACCUUUUUGCCCUUCAAACUUCAUCUUUAGACAAACUUUUGUUAUUCAUUACUUGUAUUUGUUUUCCAUUUCAAUUUCCCCUUACAUCAUCAACUAUUUCAAAGAUGAAGACAAAUGUGUAGUUGUUUGUACUUCACGCCACUCUAUGAAAUUAUUUCUAUGUGGAAUCUGUUUGUCGCCAAGUUAAGGUAAACAACUUAGGUGACAUUUAUUUACAACUUUGAAGAGUUCGACUAUUUGGUUAUUCUGAAAAGGUGAUUGGUACAUUACUUUUCUAUUUUCUAAUUCUGAUAACGUAAUUGGAAGUUCCUACUAAUGUUCAGACCAAAAAUAUUACUUAAUUCAUUCAAAUUGAAGUAAUACUUACAAAAUGUAUGUAUAAAGAUAAAACAGAUGAACAAGGUUAUUGUCGAUGAUAUUGACAGUUGAUAUGUAUGUUUCUUUUGUUUAAAUUCAAUUUUUUUUAGAAAUUUUUAAGCUUGGAUGCUAUUAAAAGCUAACAGUUACUAUGCUUUUCAUUGGGAGCUAAAAGGAUUUGGUAGUUUCUUUCUAGAAAAAGAAAAAAGAAACAUCGAUGGUCUUACCUUUCGUAGUUUUUUUAGAUAAAUAUUAGUGUUUUUUAGUGAUGAAUGUUGAGGUUCAAGAAAUAAUGUUGUUCCUUCUAUGUUUAUUCCAUAUUUAAAUCACUAUAUUGCAUUCAUAAUCAUUAUAUUCUUCUUUGUUGAAAUGAAUUUACCUUCCAUCAUGAAUUCAUGUAUUAUACUAAUUGGCCAAAUUUUUCAUUAGUUUCACUUUUUUUUACAAAAAAAACCGCAUCCACACAUAAGCCACUCACAAAUACAAACUAUUCUUUGUUCUUGAAGAAAAAAAGAAAUUCAUAGAUCAUUUAACUACAAGAUAUAGAAUGGCAACACAUAUUAGCAUUUUAUAAUUGAUCAUAAUAUCAUUUUAUAAUUGAUCAUAAUAUUUCAAAGCUACUAUAUAUUUAGAAUAACUUAUAUUGCCAAAAUAUUCAAAACAAAAGUACUAUUUAUCCUAAUAAAUAUAAGCAAUGACAACAUAAACAAUAACAAGGGAGUGAACCAAAUACUAAUUAUCACGAUUCAAGACAAUCUUGAAAAAAGUAAAAAACAUUUAAUAUAAUGCCAAAAAUGGAAUUAACUUUCUUUUUUUGGUCAAAGAGGAAAAAAUUAAUCUUCCAGAGCCACUUGCCGCCGCAAUAGCCAUCUUCCUGGCUAUAUUCCCUUGUAAAGUGUCCUUCUUGUCCGCAUUUGUAGCAUCCCGCUCCUCCUCCACCGCCUCCUUGGCUACAUUCCCUUGUGAAAGAAGGAAGGGGCUGCUACAAAUGUGGGGAAGAAGGGCAUUUUGGAAGGGAUUGUAGGCAGAGAGAUGGCUAUGGGAGGGGCGGAGGUGGCUCUAUAUCAUUUGAUUAUUCGCAUUCUAUUACAUGUUUUUACUUUUUUCAAGAUUGUCAAGAAUCAUGAUAAUUAAUAUUUGGAUCACUCUCUUGUUAUUUUUUAUAUUUAUUAAAAUAAAUAGUACUUUUGUUAUAAAUAUUUUUGCAAUGUGACUUACUCUAAAUGUAUGCUGCAUGCUUUGAAAUAUUAUGAUCAAUUAUGAAGUGUUAAUGUGUGUUGUCAUUCCAUCUUUCUGUUCUAGAUGCAUCAAAAAUGAUUUUGAGAUAUUUUUCUUAAUUCCUUUGUCUUUGUUUUCAUUUGUGUUGGAACAAUGACCCUGAUAUGGAUAGAGUGGAAAAGAUUCAAAGGAAUGAGGAUAAAUAUAACACAGCUACUAAUUUUGGGGAGCAGCAUAAUUGAUGGAUUGAUUGGUGAUGUUACCAUUCUAUUUAUUUAUUGUUUAUUUUCGUAGUUGCAAUUAUGCUUGGAGAUGCGUUGUUACCUUCAGCAUGUUUUUUCAUUGUUGAGGAGUUGAGGCAGACUUCAUUAUGUUUAAAAUGAGUGGAAAAUUGCAUUUCAGGAAAUAUCUUGUUUGGAACUUCAUUUGUUGGUAUGCUUAAGAGAGGAAUUCCAUAUUAUUAAUGACUGCAGUAUAUUUUCCUUUGUUUGUGUGCUUAACAGGAGACCAACUACUGUUUCUCUUGUCAACUUGGGUGCUCUGCUUGAGCAGAUUGCUAAGUUAGGUUCAUUGAGUAGGGGUUCCUCCAAGGCAUGGCAUGAAUAGCAUCGUCAUGAAAUCAACCUAAAGCGUUUUGCAGAACGACUAAGAUCAUCCGUAUCCUAGUGUCUAAAAACUCUCGUGUGAGUAUACAUAAAUUUAUUUCUUCUUUCUACCUACCAAACAAUAAUUUGGCACUGCAGAUAUCUAUUUUGCGAUCAUCAUAUUGAAGGAGAAUCUGAUCUGGAGCACAAUGCAUCUAAACAGAUUCAACAAAUAAAUGCAUGUGGUUCCGUGUAUUUUGGGAGUUAGUCCAACUUAUGUGGACCUGUAAGAAUUUCUUCGACAUGUAAGUCCAUUGACACUCACAAGCUCUCAUAUUUCACUCCUUGGUUUAAUUUGUCUUUCUUGCUUAAAUGUUGUGUCAUAUUCUUUGAAUUAACUCCCCCGGUUUAACAUUAUCUCCUUCCCUAAUUAAUGCCUUACUUUAGUUUAUUCUACCCCUCUCAUUUUUAUUUUUUUUGAUUAUACAUCAACAAGAACCGGAGGGGAUGAAACCGAAGGCUCCCAAUGAGAUUCGGUAAGAUGCUGCUUUUAUACCUUUUUGCCCUUCAAACGUCAUCUUUAGACAAACUUUUGUUAUUCAUUACUUGUAUUUGUUUUCCAUUUCAAUUUCCCCUUACAUCAUCAACUAUUUCAAAGAUGAAGACACACGUGUAGUUGUUUGUACUUCACGCCACUCUAUGAAAUUAUUUCUAUGUGGAAUCUGUUUGUCACCAAGUUAAGGUAAACUACUUAGGUGACAUUUGUUUACAACUUUGAAAACAGACUUUUCUAACUUAGAGUUCGACUAUUUGGUUAUUCUGAAAAGGUGAUUGGUAAUUUUCUAAUUCUGAUAACGUAAUUGGAAGUUCCUACUAAUGUUCAGACCAAAAAUAUAACUUCAUUCAUUCAAAUUAAAGUAAUACUUACAAAAUGUAUGUAUAAAGAUAAAACAGAUGAACAAGGUGAUUUUCGAUGAUAUUGACAGUUGAUAUAUGUAUGUUUCUUUUGUUUAUAAAAUUAGAAGUUUUUAAGCUUGGAUGCUAUUAAAAGCUAACAGUUACUAUGCUUUUUAUUUGGAGCUAAAAGGAUUUGGUAGUUUCUUUCUAGAAAAAGAAAAAAGAAACAAUCAUGGUCUUACCUUUCUCAGUUUUUUAGAUAAAUAUUAGUUUUUUUUAGUGAUGAAUGUUGAGGUUCAAGAAAUAAUGUUGUUCCUUCUAUGUUUAUUCCAUAUUUAAAUCACUAUAUUGCAUUCAUAAUCAUUAUAUUCUUCUCUGUUGAAAUGAAUCUACCUUCCCUCAUGAAUUCAUUUAUUAUACUAAUUGGCCAAAUUUUCCAUUAGUUUCACUUUUUUACAAAAAUACCGCAUCCCCACAUAAGCCACUCACAAAUACAAACUAUUCUUUGUUCUUGGAUAAAAAAGAAAUUCAUAGAUCAUUUAACUACAAGAUAUGGAAUGGCAACACACAUUAACAUUUUAUAAUUGAUCAUAAUAUUUCAAAGCUACUAUAGAUUUAGAGUAACUCAUAUUGCCAAGAUAUUCAAAACAAAAGUACUACUUAUCCUAAUAAAUAUAAGCAAUGACAACAUAAACAAUAACAAGGGAGUGAACCAAAUACUAAUUAUCACGAUUCAAGACAAUCUUGAAAAAAGUAAAAAACAAUUAAUAUAAUGCCAAAAAUGGAAUUAACUUUCUUUUUUUGGUCAAAGAGGAAAAAGUUAAUCUUUCAGAGCCACCUGCCGCCGCAAUAGCCAUCUUCCUGGCUAUAUUCCCUUGUAAAGUGUCCCUCUUCGCCGCAUUUGUAGCAUCCCGCUAUUCCUCCACCGCCUCCCUGGCUACAUUCCCUUGCGAAAGAAGGAGGGGGCUGCUACAAAUGUGGGGAAGAAGGGCAUUUUGGAAGGGAUUGUAGGCAGAGAGAUGGCUAUGGGAGGGGCGGAGGUGGCUCUGGAGAUUAAUAUUUCUUCUUUGACCAAAAAAAGAAAAUUAAUUUGAUUUUUCGCAUUGUAUUAAAUGUUUUUACUUUUUUCAAGAUUGUCAAGAAUCAUGACAAUUAAUAUUUGGAUCACUCUCUUGUUAUUUCUCUUAUUUAUUAAAAUAAAUAGUACUUUUCUUAUAAAUAUUUUUGCAAUGUGACUUACUCUAAAUGUAUGUUGCAUGCUUUGAAAUGUUAUAAUCAAUUAUGAAGUGUUAAUGUGUGUUGUCAUUCCAUCUUUAUGUUCUAGAUGCAAGGUAUCUUGUAGUUAAAUGAUAUAUGAAUUUCUUUUUUUUCUUCAACAAGAAAGAAGAGUAUGUAUUUGAGAGUGGUUUAUGCGGGGAUGUUUUUUUUUUUUUUUAUAACUUAAAGUGAAAUGGAUGAAGUUGGUUGACAUAGCAUGCCCUCUAUGGAAUCCUCAGCAUUCUCUAACAUCCAAUGGAAGGAGCGGAAACCACACUGGAUCAUGAAUCAGGUGCUGGAAUACUUUCUGAUUUACUGCCAUCUGUAGCUAUUUUAGUAGCUUAGUAUAGCGAUUCCAUACAUUGGUUUUUUUUACGGAGUUUACAUUGCAAUAACAUUUCUUUUCAUAAAUGUACUACUGUUAAUUGCAAAAAGAUGUAAUCUCACUUAUUCCUGAAUAGAGAUCUGUAUCAUGUAUCAAUUAUAGUACUCACAUACUCUGUUCCUCUAGCUUAUCUCUUUAUUAUAGAAGCAAAUCUUUGGUUGGUAUUUCGUGUACACAUGCUUGGAUUAGUUUCUAUGUGGAAAUAGUUGCUUGAAAAUCUAAAUAAAAUGAAAAGACACUUCUAUUAUCUGGUAACUUAUAGUUAUCCCCCUUUCAGUAGUUAGUAGUAAAGAUUUCUAACUCACAAGUCACGGGGUUUGAUUUUCUUCAAAAGUGAGUUUUAAAACAGACUCGAUGCUGGUGCCACCAAGAUGUACUAAUUUACCCUUUCACAGGUAUUGAGUGGAAAGUUGCGGAGUUGUUCUUGAAGCCCCACUCGCACAAUUCUCGUUUAAUUAUAAGAAGUUAAGUAUUUUUGAAUGAAGACACUCAAUUGGGCAAACAUCCGUAAAUUCCCUCAGUGACCUUUCUGGCUUUUAUUGUUUCUUAAAAAUGGAAAAUUGUGCCAGGUAAGAGAUAGGGGAAUUGUAUGGUUCGUGUUUUCCGAUUCUGUUAACGUCUUGAGGAUCUGUUGAGGUGGUCUGCUGCUAAGAACAUCAUAGUUAUGUGAGUAACGAUGGAAUGUCGUGCUUUCAUGCAGUUUUAAUCCUUUACACUAUAGUUGCACCUGCAAAUUUGUGUGUUGCUUGCAAAACAAGCAGUGACCUCCCAAUUGGGCAGUGACCAGGGAGGAGGUUCUUCAUUGAAUUCUUAUAUUACUUUCUUUGCUACUUCGUAUGAUGAGAGCAUAUGUUUUAUAUGAAAAUUGAUACUAUUUUUUCUCAGAUGCUCCUUUUUAGUAUCAUAAUUUUCUUUAUACACAACCCUUAGUUCUUUUUAAAAUGAGAUUUACUUCCUUAUAGGACUGUCCUUUUUAUUUUCUUAUACUUGUGUACUCCUAGUUUGAACUUUAACCCAGUUUCCACUUUCCACCCGGUGUACCUGCUAUAUAUAGAUGGAUGACAAUGGUAAGUUUUAGUUUCUUUGACAUGGAUUUAAUGCAUUUUGAUGUGCAGAUAGUUCUACUCCGUUUGUAUUUUGCUUCAUUACUUCUUUUGAACGAUCUGGUGUCUCAUGAGAUGGAGUGGUGCUGAUGGGAGAAAGAUAUGGAAACAUUUUUGCAAAAUGUUGGACUCACCAUCUAUUUUUUUUUAAUGAUGCUGCUGUUCAUAAUUUCUUUUGCCCGACAACUAUGAUGUUCAUAACUUGGAAUGGUUGUUUAGUCUAAAGAUUGCAUGCACUACUCAACUGAUAGGCUGGUUGACGGUUUGUGUACAUUAAUAUCUUUUUUGGAUGUUCUUUAUUUAUUGUUUUGUGGUUUUUCUUGUAAUUGGUUGAACUGGUAUGGCUGUACACAACACAAAAUACUGAUGCUUACAUUUUGUUUCUGCUUUUAUUGUAAGAUCUUCAUGUACAUCACUUUCCUGGUGCUUCAUUUGCAAUAAAAUGCUUUCUUUACCUGUACCGCUUCCCCAAGAGGGGUUUUGGUUGUUGAAGGGGGGGGGGGGAGAUGAUUUUUUUUUUUCUGUUGUUGAUCACUACUGUUAGAUGAUUUGAUUAUUAACUCUAGCUGAAGUUGACCUGGAACAUACAUAUUGGUACUUAAACUUAAGUACUUUAACUAUGGUUUCAUAUGCUUGCUUUAUACCUGCGAAAUCAAAAUACAGCCAUUCCGAUGAUAUGUGUACUUUCCCAAAUCCCAGCAAGCUUUGGCUUUAAAAGGAGAGCCUUUGAGCUCUACUUCUAGAGUUCCUUCGUGGGAAAUUAUUACUAAAACUCAUGGGAGCCAGUAUUGGAAAGGUUUUGAAGGAUGACAAGUGUUUGUACCUUGGAAUUGAUGAUUUCAGACAAGAUGUUGGUACAACAGGUAAUUUCUAGGGAUUUUUCUUUUUUGCAGUCAUUGUUCAGUGAUGUAUUUUACCACCAACCAGUUCAAAGGAAGCAAUUGCACUCCAAGUACUUCUAGCUUUUCAAACUUAAAACAAGAAAAAGAAAAUUGAUUUAUGUACUUUACUAAAGCUGUUCUGUGAUCUGAUUGCUCUUUUGGUUUGCUAUACAAUCUGGAAGGCCAAAGAGGGUCUUGCAUUCUCUGAAAUUGUCUUUUUUAAGAAUCGACCUUAUGCAUCCCAGUGUCUCCUUCAAAUUUGUUGAUAUUGAAAGGUCAUCUUUGAUACACCAGUAACUUAAGGAUAUUUCCUGUCUAGUUUUUCCGAUCUUGUUCAUUUGCAUGCAGUAAGGUUUGAGCUUCUUCUUAGACCGUUAACAAAUUGAGUGCAAGUGAUGGUUAAUUCAAGCUUUCAGGAUACCUCUCAGGUCCUGAUGUUUAUACAGUGCAAGUAUACAAGCAUAGAUAAAGUGAUGUGAUAAGUUAUCUUCUGUUCUCUUUGUUUCUUUGACAACCAUGGUUUAAUUGUCUGGUACUUAGGUUUUUCUGCAUCCACUUAUUUCAGUAUAUUGUCUUGACAAAAGAAACAGAAAACUAAUUCUUGGUUUAACUUUUACUUUAUCGAAUGCUUGUUUUUUACAGUGUAUUUGUUUUCCUUGACCUUCUUAUUGCUGAUAUCAAUUCAAGAUUUUUUUCCCAAGGACCAAUACAUAAAUUACUCAGAGCAUGUUUGGAUUGACUUGUUUUAAGUGCUUUUAAGUACUUUUGGAGUAUUUGGAGAAUUUCAGAAAGGGCUUAUAAGCACUUAAUUUUAAGCUAAAAUGUUAAAAUAAGCCAAAAGUCAUCAGUUAGAAUUUCUAACUUAUGGCUUUUGGCUUCGAAGUUAAAAGUCAAAAGACAAUUCAAACUGGCUCUUAAUAACACCAACGAUGAGUUUCGACAGUACUUCUGAAAUAGAGCAGCUAUGUAGAUAUUGAUAUAUCCACUGUUUUUGAUGUACCUAAACUGCCCAAGAUCUUUAUAUGUUUAGACGUAGGCAUUUAGGAUUUAAUUUUUUUUGUAGGGUUUUAGUGUGCAGGUCAACUAGUACUACUUAUCCGUGAAUCGCUCAUCUUUAUUGUUCAAACCUUACAACAGUUGAAAAGUUGCAGGAGUCAAACUGUUAUGAUCCUAACAAUGUUCCUGCAAAUGCUAUAGUAAAUAUUAUCAUGAAGUGCUCUUGUGGGGAUAGUCAUGUUUCAAAAGAUUAUGGACAAUUUAUAACUUUUCCUCUUUGCACUGACCAGAAUUUGGUUACAUAGCCAAUGAACUUAAUCUACCACAGAAGUUGUCGGAAGACUAUCCUGAAGCAAAUUUCAGCAGGGGAAGUGGUCUGGCUUCUAUACUCAUAUUCUUUGCAUAUUUUAAGUACAAUUAGUCAAGUUCGGAUUAGGAUUAACAGAAUGGUAUGCAGAACCAUUAAAAGGAAACCUGCUCGUUGUAUAUUAUCGGGAAGGAAUAACUUUGCAUACUACAAUCAUAGUUAAUUUUCGGAUGAUUUGACAUUAUGUCAAAGCUGAGAAUUGUCACUUGGAUAUCCGGUACUAUAUAUGCCAAGUGUUAGCUGAUAUAGUUUUCUUUUAGAUCUCUGUUUCUGAAAUUUAUUGCAGAUCAAAAUGGAACUUAUCCACUAUUAAAAACUUCUAUAAGGUAUUCCCCAACCCCAGUGAGCUCCUAAUCAUGCGUAUAUUGGUAGCUAAUUGUUGUUUCUUGCUUUUCACAGCUCAAAAGGUUGGUCUUUACUACUAUAAUGGCACUGUUUUCAACUUAUCAAGUCUGAGGUAUCAAAAUAGCUCUGAAUGUGAUUGUAAUCUACUAAACACAUUGUGUUAUUGACUGGAAUCCCAGGUGGGGCAAUAGCUGGCAUACGGGUUGUAGCAGUUCUUGUGGUAGUCCUUUUAGUGUCUUGCAUGUAUCUUACCUUUUAUAGAGGCAGGAAAACGGAAGGAAAUUGUCUCUUAACUUGCAAUGUUACAAACACAAUACUAAUAAGAGCAUGUUCCUGGUAAUUUUAUUGAUUUCAUUCUUACUGAUGUAUGCUUAAUUACCCGUCAAGCUCUAUGGUGGAGAUUCCUGUUUCUCAUUUCUCUUGCCUUGGGAAUGAGGAAUCAUCAUCAUCUUCAUCAUAAUGACUUGUUAGAGGUAUUAUUCUUUUUUCCAUUUGUUAAAAAAAAUAUAAGCUUCCUACGAUCGAUCCUGGAAUGAUAAAAGUAUGUCAACUGUUCUGUGAAAGUAAUGUGUUUGGUUCAUCCUUAGAAUAAACCUUUUAAUAUCUUUAAAUGACUCGGGUCAAGCAAAUUUCGAGAAUUCUUCAGAAGGGGGACCUCUUAAUAACGGUGCUUCUUCAGAGGUCCCGAGGUUUGCUGUGGAUAAAUCUGUUGAAUUUUCAUAUGAUGAACUCGCUAAUGCCAUUGACAACUUCAGCACAUCCUACAAGAUUGGCCGAGGUGGUUUUGCAUCUGUUUACUAUGGAGAGUUACGAGGCGAGAAAGAUGGUAUCAAGAAGAUGGAUAUGCAAUCAACAAAAGAAUUCCUUGCUGAAUUGAAGGUUUUGGCACAUGUUCAUCACUUGAACUUGGUAAAUUCGUUAAUCAUACUGGGUAUGAGCCUGGAUUUUUGUUGUAGUUGUCACUCUUCUUUUCCGAGACUUCUUGGAGAUUUGUGAGGUACGUUUAAUAGGAUAUUGCAUUGAAGGAUCCUUGUUCUUACUUCUUAGUAUAUGGGUUCAUUGAAAAUGGAAACCUAAGCCACCAUUUGCGCCAUUUUAAGUAUGGUUUCGUAUGCUUGCUUUUACACCAGCGACAUCAAAAUACAGCCAUUAAGAUGAUAUGCAUGCUUUCUCAAGUCUCAACAAGCUUUGGCUAAAGGAGAGGGCACAGAGCUCUAUUUUCUGAUGUUUCUUUGUUGGAAAUUGUUACUAAAAGCCCUAAUGAAUAUCAUAAGGUUUUGAAUGUAAAGUUCUUUUGAGUUUUAGUUGGUAGUAUCCAUUAGGAUAGGUAUGAAACUACUGACUUGGUCUUGGUCGUUGUCAUUGUUUACAAGACGACAAAGUGUUUGUACCUUGAAAUUGCUGAUUGUAGACCAGAUGUUGGUACAACAGGUAAUUCUGUGCCAACCUCCUACCUGAUACAUGAGUUGACUUCUGUUUGCUAAUAAGGAAUUCUUGGGAUUUUUCUCUUUGCUAU